rnacentral:RNase_P_RNA from 1 species
AGUCGGUUAUACGGUCGCGGGGGCGGCGACGCCCAUGAGGAAAGUCCGAGCAUCACAGAGCAGGGCGCAGGAGAAAUCCCUGUGGAGGCGACUCUAAGGAAAGUGCAACAGAAAUAAACCGCAGGCGCGAGCCUGUAAGGGUGGAAAGGCGAGGCAAGAGCUCACCGUUUCUCCGGCGACGGAGAAAGCCAUGUAAACCCCGCCCGAUGCAAGAUUGGGAAACGGCCUUUCGGCUGCUCGCUUGGCCGUUUCGUUUAUAUCGCUCGAUCUUAACGGAAACGUUAAGGCUAGAUAAAUGACCGUACACGACAGAACUCGGCUUACAGACCGACUCG